GGGGUUUUAUCCUUUUAUAGAAAAAAUCUCAAGCCUAAGUCGUCUGCAGAUAGGGUAAGGAUUUGAGGCAAAAGUGAGAAAAGAGAGGGAAACAAAGACCCAAGUCUCUGGAACAUGUAUAUCCAACCUGGAAGCUGGUCCCUGAACACCUGGAUUUUUUCCCUGCAUUAACCUCAAUGGCCAUAGAUGAAGACUUUGAUAAAUAUCAAUACAGUUGGGACACCUGGGUGAUGGUAGAUUUCUUUGAAAUAUGGCCUAUUCAGAAUAAGAAUGUUUUAGAGACUAUGAGCUCCUGGAGACAGAAGUACAGCUCAUUCUCGGCUGAUUGGAGGAAAUGUCUCUUUCUGGCACUCAACUCUGGCACCAACCCUUUGUAUACUGGUCUUCAAAGAGGUAAUCAAGGUGGGUGCUAA
rnacentral:lncRNA from 1 species